rnacentral:tRNA from 1 species
GGUGGCGCGGGGCGCGGACGGGCUCUGCUACUUCCAGUGGCGGGCCUCCCGGUUCGGCGCCGAGCGGUACCAC